rnacentral:misc_RNA from 1 species
GCAAACUUGGUCAUUUAGAGGAAGUAAAAGUCGUAACAAGGUUUCCGUAGGUGAACCUGCGGAAGGAUCAUUAAAGUAUUAUUGGGGUUCUUUAUGAGCCUAACAAUCUGACUUUGUGGUAAUAAUGAAAAAUAGGAUUUGGGUUUAAAGAUGAUGCUUCUAAAGAAAUUUAGAGGUAUCGACCCAAACUUUUUUUAUCAACUCUUUUUUUUUUUUACUAUUUGACUGAAUUUAUCAAGUAAUCCAAUUUUUUGGGUUAAAAAAGUUUUAAAUAACUUUCAACAACGGAUCUCUUGGUUCUCGCAUCGAUGAAGAACGCAGC